rnacentral:rRNA from 1 species
ACGCACGCUGGCGGCGUGCUUAACACAUGCCAGUCGAACGGGUCUGCCCUGUUUUUUGCGGGGUGGGUCAGUGGCGAACGGGUGAGUAACACGUGAGUAACCUGCCCCUCACUUCUGGAUAACCGCUUGAAAGGGUGGCUAAUACGGGGUGUUCUGGCUGUGCCGCAUGGUGUGGCUGGGAAAGAUUCACUUUUGUGGUGUUUUGGUGGGGGAUGGGCUCGCGGCCUAUCAGCUUGUUGGUGGGGUGAUGGCCUGCCAAGGCUUUGACGGGUAGCCGGCCUGAGAGGGUGGGCGGUCACACUGGGACUGAGAUACGGCCCAGACUCCUGCGGGAGGCAGCAGUGGGGGGUAUUGCACAAUGGGCGGAAGCCUGAUGCAGCGACGUCGCGUGAGGGAUGGAGGCCUUCGGGUUGUGAACCUCUUUCGCCGGUGAAGAAGGUCCUGCUCUUUGUGGUGGGGUUGACGGUAGCCGGGUUAUGAAGCGCCGGCUAACUACGUG